AAUCAACGCUGGCGGCGUGCCUCAGACAUGCAAGUCGAACGCGAAAUUUCCCUUCGGGGAGAAAGUAGAGUGGCGCACGGGUGAGUAACACGUAGGUAAUUUGCCUUUGGGUGGGGAAUAACUCAGGGAAACUUGAGCUAAUACCGCAUAAUGCAGCGGCUCGACAUCGAGACAGUUGUUAAAGCGGGGGAUUGGAGCAAUCCGACCUCGCGCCUAAAGAGAAGCCUGCGGCAGAUUAGCUAGUUGGUAAGGUAAUGGCUUACCAAGGCGACGAUCUGUAACCGGCCUGAGAGGGCGGUCGGUCACACUGACACUGACAUAG
rnacentral:rRNA from 1 species